ACGAACGCUGGCGGCGUGCCUAAUACAUGCCAGUUGAGCGCUGAAGGUUGGUACUUGUACCAACUGGAUGAGCAGCGAACGGGUGAGUAACGCGUGGGGAAUCUGCCUUUGAGCGGGGGACAACAUUUGGAAACGAAUGCUAAUACCGCAUAAAAACUUUAAACACAAGUUUUAAGUUUGAAAGAUGCAAUUGCAUCACUCAAAGAUGAUCCCGCGUUGUAUUAGCUAGUUGGUGAGGUAAAGGCUCACCAAGGCGAUGAUACAUAGCCGACCUGAGAGGGUGAUCGGCCACAUUGGGACUGAGACACGGCCCAAAAUCCUACGGGAGGCAGCAGUAGGGAAUCUUCGGCAAUGGACGAAAGGCUGACCGAGCAACGCCGCGUGAGUGAAGAAGGGUUUCGGAUCGUAAAACUCUGUUGGUAGAGAAGAACGUUGGUGAGAGUGGAAAGCUCAUCAAGUGACGGUAACUACCCAGAAAGGGACGGCUAACUACGUG
rnacentral:rRNA from 1 species